UUGGAGGGCAAGUCUGGUGCCAGCAGCCGCGGUAAUUCCAGCUCCAAUAGCGUAUAUUAAAGUUGUUGCAGUUAAAAAGCUCGUAGUUGAAUUUCGGGAUCAAUUUAUCGGUCGUGCCUCUGGUAUGCACUGGUAUUAUUGAUUUCUACCUUCUGACGAACCAUGAUGUCAUUAAUUUGGUGUCAUGGGAAAUCAGGACUGUUACUUUGAAAAAAUUAGAGUGUUUAAAGCAAGCACACGCUUGAAUACAUUAGCAUGGAAUAAUGAAAUAGGACGUUUGACCCUAUUUUGUUGGUUUCUAGGAUCGACGUAAUGAUUAAUAGGGAUAGUUGGGGGCAUUAGUAUUCAAUUGUCAGAGGUGAAAUUCUUGGAUUUAUUGAAGACUAACUACUGCGAAAGCAUUUGCCAAGGAUGUUUUCAUUAAUCAAGAACGAAAGUUAGGGGAUCGAAGACGAUCAGAUACCGUCGUAGUCUUAACCAUAAACUAUGCCGACUAGGGAUCGGAUGAUGUUAAUUUUUUAAUGACUCAUUCGGCGCCUUACGGGAAAC
rnacentral:rRNA from 1 species